UACGAAGGGGGCUAGCGUUGCUCGGAAUCACUGGGCGUAAAGGGUGCGUAGGCGGGUUUUUAAGUCAGGGGGGAAAUCCUGGAGCUCAACUCCAGAACUGCCUUUGAUACUGAAGAUCUUGAGUCCGGGAGAGGUGAGUGGAACUGCGAGUGUAGAGGUGAAAUUCGUAGAUAUUCGCAAGAACACCAGUGGCGAAGGCGGCUCACUGGCCCGGUACUGACGCUGAGGUGCGAAAGCGUGGGGAGCAAACAGG
rnacentral:rRNA from 1 species